AGCUUUUCGAAUCCGUGCAGAGAUUUCAUCAGACACCAACCCAUUAGGUCUGAGCAGACUUCCAAGAUAAGUGUUGUC
rnacentral:pre_miRNA from 1 species